rnacentral:rRNA from 1 species
AGUGAAUAGAUACCCCCGGUAGUCCACGCCGUAAACUAUGGAUGCUAGCUGUAUUCGGUAUCGACCCCGAAAUGUAGCGAAAGCUAACGCGUUAAGCAUCCCGCCUGUGGAGUACGGUCGCAAGACUAAAACAUAAAGGAAUUGACGGGGACCCGCACAAGCGGUGGAGCGUGUUGUUUAAUUCGAUACUAAACGAAGAACCUUACCAGGGUUUGACAUCUCGGGAAGGUCUCUGAAAGGAGACUGUGCCAUUUGGAACCCGACGACAGGUGUUGCAUGGCCGUCGUCAGCUCGUGUCGUGAGAUGUUUGGUUAAGUCCAUCAACGAGCGCAACCCUUAUAGUCAGUUGAAUUUUUCUGGCUAGACUGCCCCGGCAACGGGGAGGAAGGAGGGGAUGAUGUCAGGUCAGUAUUACCCUUACACCCUGGGGCUACAGACACGCUACAAUGGCCGGUACAAAGGGCAGCUAAGUCGCGAGACGGAGCAAAUCCCAUCAAAGCCGGUCUCAGUUCGGAUUGCAGGCUGAAACCCGCCUGCAUGAAGCUGGAA